rfam:Gossypium raimondii Chr10_contig_558, whole genome shotgun sequence.
AGUUCAUGAUGAGGAUACCUUCUCAAAAAAUCCUUAAAUCUCUUCCAUGUAUCAUAAAAUGUCUUAAUAUCAAAUUGAAUAAAAGAAGAGAUGUUAUUCCUCAACUU